CCCUGCGUCCCCGCUGACCACCGGCCGCGAGCCCUGCGCCCUGCACUCGGCCGGACGCCUGCCCGCCGCCUCCGGACCUCUGCCCCCGGACUAGCAAAGGGACAAGGACUGCUCAGCGUGACUUAUUCGGGCCACGCCUUAGCAGAGGUGAAGCCUGGAGUCCAAGUCCCCGGGAUCAGUUAGCUGUGUCUUCUGCAAUGAAGCUCAUUGGGAUCAAUAAAAGGAGUGCCAAAGAGGAAACUUAGGCCUGGGUCUGCUUGGCUGAGCGAGCAUCCCCUGACCAAGGAGCACCACAAAGACCAACAGUGAGCAGACUUCUAGUUGUGAUUUAUGUUAGCUCCAAAUACAAGUGAUUAAAAUUCUCUAUUUAAAACUACUAGACCACCUCCUGUUUCACAAGCGCAAGGUCCGAAGUUUGAUCCCCGAU